rnacentral:ribozyme from 10 species
GAUGAUUGUGUCCAUCGCAUCAACAAAUUUGUAGAUGCCGUCCAACUUGACAAUUGGUGGAACGCCUUCACGCUCGGGUGCAAGUUCGAUGCGGA